AAAUGUUGGAUCUUUCUUCAAAACAAGUUAAAUGGAUCAAUCCCACCUUUAAGUAGUUUGACUUCUCUAAAGUUCUUGUAUUUGCAAAAGAAUGAUCUCUCUGGAUCUAUACCAAUUGAACUGUCUGAAAGCUCAAAACUACAACUUCUGGAUUUGAGGGAGAACAAAUUUUCAGGUAAAAUUCCCAAUUGGAUUGAUAAUCUCUCAGAGUUGCGUGUUCUUUUACUAGGAUGGAAUAACUUGGAAGGAGAUAUUCCAAUUCAAUUGUGUCGAUUAAAAAAGAUCAACAUGAUGGACCUAUCGCGGAACAUGUUCAAUGCUUCAAUACCAUCUUGCUUCCAAAAUUUGACAUUUGGUAUAGGACAGUACAAUGAUGGACCUAUUUUUGUAAUCUCAAUAAGUCUGACACAAGAUAUUCCAAAUGGUGCACCUCCUUUUAUUUGAAUUAUCUCAUGGCGAACUACACUUGGAAGUGGAGUUCAGAACAAAGCACAAUGAUUACUUUUACAAAGGUAAAGUCCUAGAGAAAAUGACUGGAUUGGAUUUAUCAUGCAACAAGCUAACAGGUACUAUCCCUUCUCAAAUUGGGCACCUGCAACAAGUUUUAGCCUUGAACCUAUCACAUAAUCACUUGUCGGGUCCUAUUCCAAUUACGUUUUCAAAUCUUACCGAAAUAGAGAGCCUUGACUUAUCAUACAAUAACUUGAGUGGUAAGAUACCUUAUGAGCUAACCCAGUUGACCUUUUUAUCAACCUUCAACGUGUCAUACAACAACCUUUCUGGAACACCACCUAGUACAGGACAGUUUGCAACCUUCGUUGAGGACAGCUACAGAGGUAAUCCCGGUCUUUGUGGAUCACUCCUCGACCGAAAGUGUGAAGGUGUCAAGUCUUCACCAUCAUCACAAUCCAAUGACAAUGAAGAAGAGGAAACAAAUGUGGACAUGAUAACAUUUUAUUGGAGGUUUCUACAGCAUCUUACAUAACAAUAUUGUUGGCCUUCGUAACAGUGUUGUGUAUCAAUGCUCGUUGGCGUAUGGCUUGGUUUUAUUACAUUAGUAAGUUUGCACGAUUUUUUUUUCCAACUUUUCCAUUGUACUGAAGAGUGUACGUAGUACCUGUUGAAACUUUACGUGGAGUCUCAAAUAUUUGGAUAUUGUAAUUUUUAUAUUUAUCGUUAAUUUCAGACAGUUUGAUGCUGGACAUGAUUUUAAGCUCUUUUUAUUUUUUCAUUGUUUUUUGUGUGAUGUACUUGUCUGCAGUUGUUUGAUUUGAAGCUAUUGAAUACAUUAUUAUGUUUUUUUCUUUCUUCAUAUUAAUGCUUAUCUAAUUACUCUGUUGUCAGACUCUAAUAGCAAUCAGAAGAAGAAUUGUUGUUGUUUUUUUUAUCUUCAUAUUAAUGCAUAAUCAAUUAGCUAACUGUAUACAUUUGUCAUAGAAUAUCAAAAUUAUGCAGACUCAGAAAUAUUGAAGACUUCAUUAUGAACUUAAUAUCAUGUUAAUAGUCUCAUUGAAAUGUGGUUGUACUUGUACACUUGUACUAGUUAAUUAUGUUAUCAAUUAUCUUAGUACUGGACCUCGACUAAGUAUGAGAAUGAUGUUAGUUUAUUGUAACACGUAUUAUUAUCAAAUCUCUUAUUAUUUGUGGUUUCUUUCAUCCUUUUGUAUUGAAACCAUGUUGUUGAAUCCAAUAGCAGCGAUUUCCGAUUAAGUUGCAUACAACUUCUGUUACCAUCUUUGUCGUCAUAUCAUAUCCAAGAGUUCCUCAAAUAGCUCUGAGACCUGUUUCAAAGAUCCAUCAAAUGACGUUCUGCAGCCAUUGACCCGGCAGCAGCCAUUGAUUCUGUGACAGGCCCUAUGCUAGAGUAUUAUUGAAAAGAUGAAAAGAAAACGAGCAAAAACUGUUUUUUACUCGAGAGCAUGCUCUGUCGAUGGAAUCAUUCCCUUCUAGAGAGCCUUGUGUACAAUACUAACUCCAAUGCCAUUAAUAUUUGCCUUUAGUUUUCUUUUGUCAUUAAUUAAUUCUUCAACCACCAAAUCGGGUCAUGUCUUUAUAAGUCAAUCUCAAAUUAGUCUCUAACUCUAUUAAUAUUUCAAAUUAGUCUCUGUCUUUCUCAAAAGUUUCUAAACCACAUUCCUCGACAUGUGACAAAAACAUAAAGACAAGGACCUAAUUAACAAACUUUUAACAAAGUGCUUUUGUAAGUAAUUCAUUAUGAGACCCUAUGUUUUACGGUUUCUUUCAUAAUGUUAUUGUUUUUCAUUGAAAGGUUUAGCUCUCAUAUUUAACACUUUUGUUGUUUUUUGUUAAAGUAACUUCUUAUAUUUUUCUAAUACCUCGAAUGUCAAUGUAUCUUACUAAUUUGUUUAUAUCCAUGAGAUUACAAUUAGUUGUUGAACCUUGUUUAAGCGUUUUCGUGAGAUCUGUCUGAUUUAAUGAACAGAAUGGCUUUUCCAGGUCGCAUUGAGCAUGGUAUGAGAGGAAGGUUUUGCAUCUUUCUACUAUGGCCUUUGGCCGUCACUUAUUGGAAUAGCUUCAUAUAUUCCAGUUAACUUUUGUGUUUUUGACUUGCGAUCGAGUUUGAGUAAUUGUUUUUGACUAACAUUGAAAUUAAAACAUCAUAACCAUACCAGAGAAGUCGUCACCACCAUGCUUUAAAAAUUCAGCAUCACUUGCAACACAAUGAUGGGAAAUAUUUGAAGCUCAAAUGCUUCAGUGUUCACAUAUAACUGCCAUAUUAAUAUUAUGGUCGAUGCAGGUAAUGGGAAACACAUGAAUCAAAAUUGGCAAAUGAUCAUAUACUUGUUUUUUCAUUGGAAGAUCUUUCUUAUGAUCUGAAUGGCAACUUUACCCAUUCUAGCUAUGGGUAAUCAACGGUGCAAGGCUGCCCCUGAUUGUCUUUCAAAUUCAAACGAGAAUGAAAUGUAGAAAGAGUUUUCAUUUUUAUACAAAAGAGCUUAUUACGCAGUUGCUUGGUUGGAAUUAUUCACAAAUAAUAUAAAAUUUGUUUUGUCAUUCUACUUAUACUAGUUAUUUUGCAAAAACAUAUUAAGAAAUGUAAUUAAUAUUGUAUAUGAAAGAGAUAUUAUCAGUAGUUUUACACAUUUGUCUUAAAAUGAUUGAAAUUAAUAAAUAGGUAAGAGUAUAAUAGGAAAAUUAACAUUAAUGUUACCGUAAAACAACUUAUAAUUUGGGACUAACUUUUUUUUUUUUUCUUUUUUUUUUUUCAAAAUUAUAAUUUGAGAUGGAGAGAGUAUUAAUUAAACUAGUAAUGUUAACAUACGUACGUAUAUUUAGUCUUGCAAGCAGCAAGAUAACAUUAGCAUCUUUGUCAAAUGUCAUAUUCUCUAGUCAACUCCAAGUCUUUCUUGUGCUUCAAGGAAGUUUCUUGGAAUUGAAAAGUCCCAUCUUUGUGUAUACAUGAAUUUGGGGCAAGACUGAAAAGUCCCAACAUAAUGAUUCUUGCCGGAAAGAAAGACACUUACAAAACUAAAUGAUAUGUUAUCAUAAUUUUCCGGUAACAUUUUCCACUUCCUAUUAGUUUAAUUUAUAUGCACAGCCAAUUUAAAGAUUUUUUACACUUGCAAUUGUCAUAUCAUUGAAAUCAUUUAACUUCAAUGAUAACUACUUCUAAAGUUGUACAUAUAAUUAAUUGUGAUUUGUUAAUAAUAUAAUUUUUUUUUUUUUUAAAUUGACGGUGUAUAUCAAAAUUAACUAUGGCUACAUCAAGGUUUGUUAUAUCAUAGUUUAAAAAGUGAAUACUUUUUCCUCUCCUCACUGAUUCCUUAUAUUUUUCAAUGUAGGCAGGAACCGAAAGUUUUCAGUUUGAUGAGAACAUAGAACAGGAAUGGAAAAUUCAAAUACAAAAUUUAGGCAAUGGCUAAAACAGCAUUUUAAGUAUAAUAGAUGGAAAAAAAAACUUAUAAUAGAAGGAAAAAAUUAAGAUUUAUUGAUACUGGAAAAAAUUAAGAUUUAUUGAUAUUGCAAAAUGAUAUAUAAAUUGGGAGAAAAAAAAAAAGUAAAUGGGAGAAUUUUACUUCUUAUAACUUUAAACUUAUUUGACGCUGGUUAAACUAUUUUUAAUGACCGAUGUUAGUAUACUUAAUUAUUACUUACUAUCCUAUUUGUUUGAGGGAGAAGUUGAGCAAAUGACCUCUUUACCACUCAAAUACUUACAUCCUUCCGUUAAACUACCAAACAAAGACCCCUAUAUGGUUACUAUAUUGAAAGCAACAACUAACUACUAAUGUUCACAUACAUAUUUAAUAUCAUGCAAGAUAAGUUUAGCAUCUUUCUCAAAUGUCAUCAUCUCUAGUCAACUCCAAGUCUUUCUUGUGCUUGGUGGAAGUUUCUUGUAAUAGAUAAUAUCCCAUAAUUUUAGUGUAUAUAAUGUAUAUGAGGUGAUUAUAGGAUUCGGACCAAAACUGCACACAAUACCCAUACAUUUCUCAAAAAUGAAGUUGGGUUUGAUAAUUAGUUCCCUUUUAUAUUUUGUGAUUUUAAUGUUAAUUCAAAAUCAAGGAUGUAACGGAUGCUUAGAGAAAGAGAGAAUAGGGUUGUUGGAGAUCAAGCACUACAUCUUGUCACAAGACGAAGGAUAUUCUUACCAUAGCACAGAAGAGUAUUCUUAUAAUAUCAAAGAAUUGGGUUCAUGGGUUGAUGAUAGAGAUAGCAAUUGUUGUUCUUGGAAAAGAGUCAAGUGCUCUAACACCUCUUCUGGUCACAUAACUGAAUUAUCCCUUUACUUGUUACUAUUUGAGACCCCUGAUUCUAAGAUGUUAAAUGUUUCAUUGUUCCGUCCAUUUGAAGAGCUACGCCUCCUUGACUUGUCCUAUAACUCCUUUCAAGGUUGGAUUGGCAAUGAAGGUACUACGUUGGCCCUUAUAUAUAAAAUUUCUUUAUUAAACUUAUACAAAUUAAAAAAGUUCUUUAAUUUUUAUUUGUUGUGUUAAAUUUGUUAACAUUUUAAUUUAUAUUAAAAUUUCUUUAUUAAACUUAUACAAAUUAAAAAAGUUCAUUAAUUUUUAUUUGUUGUGUUAAAUUUGUUAACAUUUUAAUUUAUAUUAUCCCCGUGAGCUUAACUCAGUUGGUAGGGAUAUCGCAUAUUAUAUGCAGGGGCCGGGGUUCGAACCCCGACACUCCACUUCUCCACAAUUUAAUUGUGUGAGCUCUUGCCAUUAGGCUACUUGCACUACAAGAAACAUUGCAUUUUGCCAGGGGCAAAAUCCCUGAGAAAAUGACAGAAUCCCUGAGAAAAGGGACAUUUAUGAGGGAAUUUGCCAGGGGCGGAAACCCUGGCAAAACAGCUCAUCGCUAACAUUUUGUGAGGGGUUACACCCCUGGAAAAAAAACGAGGGGCUAAACCCCUGACAAACUGCGUCACUUAAACCCUGUCUUAUUCCCUGGCAAAAUUCGUCACUUUUGUCUGCAACUAUGCAGGUCUGCUCUGACUUGACUGCUGACUGACGGAAUGUCAAAUCAGCAGGGUAACUUAAGCCAAGGCCUUUGCGAGUGGUAUAACCCCUGGCAAAUGGUAUAUUAAUUUUUUUAAAAAACUGGUUUUAUUUUUUAAACUGAUUUUUUAAUUAUUAAUUAAAUGUUUUUAAAAUAAUUUUAAUUAAUGAAAUGUUAUUUAAAUUAAAUUAAAAAUUGUAUUUUUUUGUCAAAGUUGUUUUUGAAAAAAAUGUAUAUUUAAAGUUGUUUUCAUAUUGGCAUAUAAGAUCCUUCAAAAAAAUAUUGGCAUAAAAGAUAUUUAUAAAUUUAUUAAUUAAAUUGAGUUAAUUUUAUCCACAUGUAAAAAUUGUAUUGUCUGGUUGUUAAAAUGAACGAAAUGUUAAGAAAAUCAUAAGGAUUGAUAUAACACACAUUUUAAUAUAACAACUACAUUUACUAUAGAUUGAAUUUUCGUUAUUGAGUCUUAACAAUUUUAUUUUAAAAGAUGGUUUUAGUAUUAUGUAGUCAUUUUAUGACAAAACACAAUUGUUAUCAAUAUUGGGCAAAGAUAAUAGACAACCGAUUUUUUUCUUUCCAGAUCUAAGAGCAACACUAAAAAGAUCACACAACAAUAAGACAAGAAAAUGAUUACAAAAAAUGCCAUGACCAUCAUCUUCCUUUUGAACCAGUAAUCGCUAUGAAGGUCAUGCUUGUAAUAGGAAAGAAAAAAUGCAGCAAUAUAAAGAGAAGUUCAUGGGUAAAAGUACUAGCUUGACACCCUAACUAGAAAGAUCACGUGUAAAAGAAGGAGCAUGAAGAAGGUGCUAAAUUGAAAAUAGAAAGAAAAACAAGAAGAAGCUUUCAUGAGUAAAACAAUGAUUAAUGGAAAUAGAGUGUAAGAACUAAGAACCAUAGCAGCAACGUCUUCAUUAGCGGUUUCAGACUUCAGAGUGAUUUUCAAAUGGAUAUGAUGCAUAUGGUGUGUUAGUGGUAAUGGUCACCAAAUGGAUAAAAACAUAAGUUGUGGACAUAUUUGGUGAUAUAUAAAAUUGAAGGUACACGGUUUGGCAAUGGUGCAGGAAUAUGCCACGGCCGUACAGCAAUAUCCGAGGGGUAAAACCCCUGGCUUGCUGGCAGCACAGUUUUUGCAGCAGGUUUUGUCAAGUCAAAACAGCAGGUUUUGCAGGGAAUCCCUUCUUUUGGCUAAGUUUUUUUUUUGAAAAAGCUGCACAACUAGAUUUUUUGAAUUUCAAGUUUGGCGCUCAAAUUAAAGACAGGGGUUGUGUCUUUUUGCCCGGGGCAAACCCCUGUCUUAUGGUAAGUGGUCCUCGCAUUUCUUAAAGUCCAUUUGUGAGGGGUUUCCUUGACAUUUUUCAUGGCAAAUUUGCUAGGGGUUUUAUGUCCCUGGCAAAAUUCUUGGCAAAUGGUCAUUUUUCUUGUAGUGUUGAACCAAAAAAAAAUAAAUAAAUAAAUAAUUCAUAUUGUCAUAAUUAGCAAUAAUUGACCGGUGAGUUUAAGUUUUCUAAAUAAGAUUAUUAUUUUACAACAUAAAAAAUCAAUGUACAAAUCUCAAUUAAGAGAGAUGUCAGUACUUUCUAUUUACAAUAUCUUAUAUACGAAUCAAAAAAAAAUAUAUGAAUUCUUUGUCAGAUGGUCUUACUAAAUUUGGUGGGAUCAAUAUAAAUUUCAACCAAUACAAACAUAAGUGUUGUAAAUAGUACUCUCUCCGUCCCUAUAUGUAACCUCCUUUUGCAUUUUUCAUAUUUUUUAAUAAAGUUUUCGGUGUAAUUAAUAUGUCUGUUUUGUGCGUUAAUAUUACUAAAUUGUCAUUUGUUUGUAUGUGUAUUAAAUUUAAUUUUUCAUAUUUCAAUACAAGCUAGUAGUAUUAAUUAAGGGUAUGUUUAGAAAAAAAAAAAAAAAUGCAUCUAGUAAUAUGAAAACGGGUUUACAUUUAGAGACAAAAAUAAAAUCAAAUUGGUGCUUAGAUAUAGGGACGGAGGAAGUAUAUCACUAGCAUAAUUAAAAGAUGGUCUCAUAGCUUUCUCUGUUUCUUUCAAACUAACUUACUAUGCUUCUUUUGAAGGUUUUCAAGGAAUUAAAAUGGUGGAGACAUUAGACCUUUCAAGGAACCAUCUAAAUAGUAGCAUCUUAUCAAGUUUGAAUAAUGGAUUAACGGCUCUAACAACUUUGAACCUCGGUAAUAACAAAAUAGAUAAUAACUUCUUCGCUCAAGGUACAAUUUGUUUGUAUAAUUUAUUUACGGGAAAUGUUAAUAAGUGCCCUCAAGACAUUUGAUAAAAAGACUAAAGAAGAAAUGUUAUCUUGGAAAUGGUGCAUUCAAUGUAUUGAAAUUUUAAAAUAUAAUUUUUUCUACUUAAAAUUCAUCAAUUAUUUCUAUUUAUGUAUUCUUAAAAAGUGUCCUGAGGCCAUUUGUUAACAAGGAUUUUUAUUCAUUUUUGUACUACAUACGAUGGAUAUGACUGCUUGUUUGAAUCUUGUAUGUUUUAUCAAUCAGCAAUGCAACUUUAGUACUUAUAUAUAAGACUUAGUUAACAAAUUUAAAAAGUUUGUUAAUUUUGUAUUUUUUUGUGUGUUAAAUAUGCUAACAUUUUAAUAUUAAUUUUAAAAAGUAUAAAUAAUUGACAAUAUAAAAUAGAUAUCGGUAGAACACAAAAAAAGAAAAUAGAUGUCUGUAUUUAGUAUUUACAAUAUCUUGCAUAUGGAUGAAUGAAAGAAUUCUUUUAUAUAUGUGAUUGAAAUAUAUGAAUUCUUUCUAUCUCUAUAUUUAUCUAGAAUAUCAAUAGGUCUUAUUAAAUUUGGUGGGAUUAGUAUAAAUUUUGACCAAUACAAAAAUAAGUGUUGUAAAUAAUACGGUAAAUUCCUUAAAAAAAAGUAAAUAAUACGGUAAAUGUUAUGUCAUUAGCAUAAUUAAAAAAUAAUUAAUACAAGAGAGAUAAUUUUAACGAGGAGUUGCCCUCCGUCUGGCAUGAAAUUUCUCAUUCUAAGAUAUAAGCUUGGAAUUUAAUUUCGAAUCUUCCAUUUUUUUUCUUUUUCUUUUUUCCCCGUAACAUUGUAACACUAUAAAUUUUUUGGGUUAAUAGGCUUUUACCCCCCUGCCAUUUGGGCGUCUUUUGGUUUACCCCCCUACAAAAAAAAAACUUGGAGAUUCCCCCUUGCAAAAUGAAGAUUCUUUGGUUUUGGACCCUGAGUCCAUCUGACUGUGUAAUUUAGUUGAUGUGGCGUGCUGACUGUGUAACGAUGGAUGAAGUGGCACUGACACGUCAUAAUUUUUAUUUUUUUAUUUUUAAAAUUAUGUUAAAAAUGUGAAAUACCUAAAAUACCCCUAAUGAUAAAUUAAAAAUUCCAAAUCUUUUUCUCCCCUUCUUCUCCUCCAGCAGCGACCCUCUUCUUCUAUUCUUCUCUACUUCAUCAUCUACAUCAACACAACAAACACAACAACACAACAAUUCAACACAACAACAACAAACAUCUUCUUUUCAAACUCACAACAACACAUCAUCAACAACAUCCCAAAUCACAAAUCACAAACAUUCAUCUUCUCACCCAUAAAAGCAAAAGAGUCUCAAAAUAGGUCUGAAAAUUCUAACCCAUAAAUCCGAAGAAAAAAAUCCGAAAAAUGUUAUUGAUGUUGUUUAUGGGUCGAAAAAUGGGUUUGAUAAAAAAUGGAUUGUUGUUGUUUGAAUCUCAAUAUGUUGUAUUUGUUUGUGUGUUAUUGUUGUUUGAUUGGAUCCAAAAGUUGUUUUGAUUUGUAUUGUUUAUGUUUUUGGCUAUGUUUUUGCCCAGAGAAGAGAAUAGGAAGGAGGAAAUGGGAAUGAGAGAGAAGGGAGUAAAAAGAAGAACAUGGAGAGAAGGAAGAAUGGGGACGAGAGAGAGAGAAGGAAGGAGGAAAUGGAGGAGAAAAGAAAAAAUAUAUUUUUUUUAAUGUUUUUAAUUUAUAAAAUUAAGUUUUUAAUAAAAGAAAUUCAAAUAGAGAAAAAAAUAAUUGGAAAAGAAAUAAAAAAAAAGCCACGUCAGCAUGCCACCUCCUUAAUUAUGCACAAUCAGCGUGCCACAUCAUCCCAUUAAUCCAGUCAUAUGGUUUGGGGGGCGUAAACCAAAGAAUCUUCAUUUUACAGGGGGAAUCUCCUAAGUUUUUUUUUGAUAGGGGGGUAUACCAAAAAACUCCAAAAUGGCAGGGGGGUAAAAGCCUAUUAACCCAAAUUUUUUUUUGAGAAAUAUAUAAAUCUUUCCAUAAACGUAGCUCAAUUGAUCGGAACAUUGCAGUAUGUUAGGGUCGGUGUUUGAAUCCUUAUUCUUCAUUUAUUUACCUCAAGAUGUGAAUUUAUAGCUAAUAAAUUACUUGACAAAAAAAAGAUAAAUAAAUUGUUAAUAUGUCACACGCACUUGGUCAUUAAAUUCUUUUUUUUUUUUUUUGACAAAUAGUCAUUAAAAUUCAUGGAACCCACGUUAUGAAGUUUUUUUAAAGAGGUUCACAAGUUGAUUUGGAGAAUUUGAAGAUAUAAAUCUCAAAUAUUAAUAUUAUUUAGGCGUUAGACUAUUUUCUUCUUAAAUUAACAAUAACUAAAAUUAAUUUGUGAAAUGAACUUUUUUUUAAGUCACGUUUGUUUUUUAUUGCCAAUUCGGUCUUUAAGAUAGUCUCAGAUAUUGAUUGAUACUAUGAAAGUGUUUUUAAUUUUAUAAUGAUUUCAUUAAUUCUUUAAUUUUAUAAUGAUUUCAUAAAUUCUUUAAUUUUAGGAUCGACCUAUGUAAUUUUUUAGACAAACUGAGUGGUUUGUUUUUCUAUUUCACAUGACUCGCUGUUUUUUUUUUCCCCUUCAUUUUUCGUGACUUUUAUUUCUCUUUUGAAACAAGUGUAGAAAUAAACUCUUAAUUAACAAGAAACUGUUUUCAUUAAUCAAAGAUUGUGUAGAAAGUAAAUGGCAUCACUAUACAACAUAUUUGUUAUCAAAUGUAAACUUCUCAUAGCUUAGUAUGCUUGUUUUGAAGGUUUUCCAAGACUUGAAAAAUUGGAGACAUUAGACCUUUCAGACAACUAUUAUCUAAACAGUAGCAUUUUGUCAAGUUUGAAUGGAUUGACUGCUCUAACAACUUUGAAGUUGGGUUCUAAUUCAAUGAAAAACUUCUCUGCUCAAGGUACAUUUUGUUUCAAUAAUUUAUUUGUGGAGUUUAUGUGAUGAAGUGAAUGAAUUAGAAGACAAUUAUAAGAUCUCGAAGAAAAUAUUAAUUUUUAACGAUAAUAAGAGACUUUAAAUAAAAUGAAAAACUGGUUAUGAAUCAUUGGUAGGAAUUGAAAUUAAUUAACAAAAGCUUUUCAUUAUGUAUAUUGUUGAAGGAUUUUCGAGAUCAAAGGAGUUGGAGGUCUUAGACCUUUCCCAUAAUGAGCUAAACUGCAAUAUCAUAACAAGUUUGUAUGGUUUCAUAUCAUUAAGGAGUUUGAUUUUGAGAGAUAACAAGUUCAAUUGUUCUCUCUCCACUUUAGGUACGCAUCUUCAAAUAAUAUAUUAUGGCAAAUGUUUUUAGUUUCAUUUAAAAAAAAAAGUAUUAUGUCCUUGCAACAGAUUUUGCCAAAUUUAGUCGGCUAGAACUAUUGGACUUGGAUGGUAAUCAAUUUAUUGGUUCACUACAUGUUGAAGGUACUUUUACUAUUAUUUUUGUUUCAACUACUAUUUAUGGUUACAAAGGAACACAAAAUUUAUUACCACUAUUUAUGGAAAAGAUUUUAUAGGAAAAUUUAUUCUGUUUGAGAAAUUCAGACAUUGUUUAGGAGUUAGCAGUUUGUUUAUAAAUCAUAUUCUCAAUAGAGGCUCUAAGUUAAUGAGUUUACAAUCUUUAAUUAAAUUCAAUAAAAUAAUUCUAAUUAAAUAUGUUUUGCCACUCUCCACAUAAUACUCUUUGCACACUCUAGCGCCUUAGCUUCUAUUAUCUCUUGGGAAAGAAGGAAGAUAAUAGAAGUUUCAUAAAUUUUUUUGUAAUGAAUGGUGAAGUUUCAUAAGGUUGAUCACCAAUGUGAUAUUGGCUAUUGUUGAAACCCAAUGGUGAAAUGAACCGGAGCUUUUGUAUUUCCUAACAUAGUAUGCCGAGCUGAAUGAUUCCCAUAUACCAAUUUGUCAUCAAGGAUUCUCCAAGAAUUUGGUCUCCAUGUCAAUCAGCUCUGACACAAAGGCCUCUUCUUUAAAUUUCUUAGUUCUUACAGAUUUAUUGAAUAUUAUAUCUCUAAAUAUGUACUUUUUUUUUUUUUUUCUUUUUUGCAGAUGUUCAACACUUGAAAAAAUUGAAAAUGUUAAGUUUAAGCUAUAAUCAAAUGAACGGCUCAAUUGAAGGUAUCAAUACUAUCAAACAUAAAUAAUUAAUUGGUUUGAUUUGUAAAUUAAUAUAUAUAUAUAUAUAUAUAUAUUGAGUCCAUUGGAAAAACUUUAAGAUUUUUAUGAUAAUGUCAAUUUUUGUAAAGAUAACUGGACAUAGUUAAUUAUGACAGGACUAUGCAAUUUGAAGGAUUUGGUAGAACUGGAUAUCAGCAAAAACAUGUUUGGGGCUAAACUUCCUGAGUGUUUAAGUAACUUAACAAACCUCAGAAUUCUUGACCUUAGCCAUAAUCUAUUCAGUGGAAAUUUUCCAUCCUUCAUUAGUAAUCUCACAUCCUUGACAUUCUUAUCACUCUAUGAAAAUUACAUGCAAGGAUCAUUUUCACUUAUCAUUUUGGCUAAUCACUCCAAUCUUCAGCAUCUACAUAUUUCAUCGAAAAACAGCACUGGAGUACACAUUGAAACUGAAAAAACAAAGUGGUUUCCUAAAUUUCAAUUGAAGUCCCUCAUUCUUAGAAAUUGCAACCUAAACAAGGACAAAGGAAGUGUCAUUCCUACUUUUCUUUCUUAUCAAUAUAAUUUGAUACUGAUGGACCUCUCUAGCAACAAUAUUGUUGGCUCACUCCCAAGUUGGUUGAUAAAUAAUGAUGCCAUACAAUAUUUGGAUCUAUCAAACAACAAUUUUAGUGGUUUGCUUCCAGAAGAUAUAUUCCUUCCAAGUAUUACCUAUUUGAACUUUUCAUGGAAUAGCUUUGAAGGAAAUAUACCUUCAUCAAUUGGUAAGAUGAAAAAUCUUGAGUACUUUGACCUCUCUCAUAAUAAUUUCUCAGGUGAGUUACCUAAACAACUGGCCACAUAUUGCGAUAAUUUACAAUACUUGAUUCUCUCCAACAACUCUCUACGUGGGAAUAUUCCUAAAUUUGUGAGUAUGGAAGUUUUAUUACUGAAUAAUAACAACUUUAGUGGAACACUUGAUGAUGUAUUGGGAAAGGGAAAUAAUACAAGAAUACUAAUGCUAUCCAUAUCCAAUAACUCGAUCACAGGCAGAAUUCCUAGUUCAAUUGGGAUGUUUUCUAACAUGUAUGUCCUUCUUAUGUCUAAAAAUCAAUUAGAAGGUCAGAUCCCUAUUGAGAUUUCCAACAUGUCCAGUCUUUAUAUUUUGGAUCUUUCUCAAAACAAGUUAAUUGGAGCAAUCCCAAAGUUCACAGCUGGAUCUCUGAGAUUCUUGUAUUUACAACAGAAUGAUCUCUCUGGAUUUAUACCAUUUGAACUCUCUGAAGGCUCAAAACUACAACUUCUAGAUUUGAGGGAGAACAAACUUUCAGGUAAAAUUCCCAACUGGAUGGAUAAGCUCUCAGAGUUGAGGGUUCUUUUAUUAGGAGGGAACAAUUUUGAAGGAGAAAUUCCAAUUCAAUUUUGUUGGUUCAAAAAGAUCGACAUAAUGGAUCUAUCACGGAACAUGCUCAAUGCUUCAAUACCAUCUUGCCUCCAAAAUAUGUCAUUUGGAAUGAGACAAUAUGUUCAUAAUGAUGAUGAUGACGGUCCUAUUUUUGAAUUCUCAAUGUACGGAGCUCCUACAGAUAUUUCCUUCAAUGCUAGUUUGUUGAUUCGACAUCCAUGGAUUGGAAAUUCGUUGAAAGAAGAACUACAAUUUGAAGUGGAGUUCAGAACAAAGCACAAUGAAUACUCUUACAAGGGUAUAGUUCUAGAGAAUAUGACUGGAUUGGAUUUAUCAUGCAAUAAGCUAACAGGUGUCAUCCCUUCUCAAAUUGGAGACCUACAACAAAUUAGAGCCUUGAAUCUAUCACAUAAUCACUUGUCUGGUCCCAUUCCAAUCACUUUUUCAAAUCUUACCCAAAUAGAGAGUCUUGACUUAUCAUACAAUGACUUGAGUGGUAAGAUACCCAAUGAACUAACCCAGCUAAACUUUUUGUCAACCUUCAAUGUGUCAUACAACAACCUUUCUGGAACACCACCUAGUACAGGACAAUUUGGAGGCUUUGUUGAGGAAAACUACAUAGGUAAUCCUGGUCUUUGUGGACCAUUCGUCAAUCGAAAGUGUGAACAUGUCGAGUCUUCAGCAUCAUCACAAUCCAAUGACGACGGAGAAAAGGAAACCAUGGUGGACAUGAUAACUUUUUAUUGGAGUUUCACAGCAUCUUACAUAACAAUAUUGUUGGCCCUCAUAACAGUUUUGUGCAUCAAUCCACGUUGGCGUAUGGCCUGGUUUUAUUAUAUCAGUAAGUUUAUGCGUAGAUUUUUUCCAACUUUUCCAUUGUAUUGAAGAGUGUCCAUAGUUUAAACUUUAUGUGGAGUCUCAAAUAUUUGGAUAUUGUAAUUUUUACCUUUAGCUUUAAUUUUCGAGAUGUUGAGACUUGAGAAAUUGAAUGUUCAGUUCCUUUUGUCAACUUUAUGAUCAUCGUGUUGUUUGUGUGAUGUAUUUAUCUGGAGUGGUUUGGAGGCAUUGUUAUAUAUUAUUGUAUUAUUUAGCAUUUUGAACCUAUGGGUCGUGCAUGAUGAAAACAUUGCUUAGUCUAUAAACAAAAUGAACAAUAAAUAUAGAGAACGCAACAUUAGCAGAACCAUAUUUUUUUGGCCUUGGUAUCCUUUCGUCGUCUCUGUAUUUCCUUAAGGAACAUUAAGUUUAAUCCUAAAUAGAUUUUUUGUGAAAAACUACGUGCAAUGUUUGAUGUUCUUGUAUGAAAUUGAAUGAUUCUACAGCUAAGACCAUAAUUAAUUUGACGAUGCUUUAUGAAAUUUGGUACCUUGAUCUUGUGGUUGUCACUUGUGGUUAAUGUUUCUUUGAACCAAUAGCAAACAACACAAUUCAUUCCAAAUUCGCCUCCGCUUAACAAACCGAACAACGAACUUGCGACGACGGCUCAGCUUCUAAACCGAACAGCAUUGUUCUUUUUGCCAUUUAUGAAACGACAUUGCUUUUGGUAGAUUCACGGAGUUGGAAUUGGACAAUGCUUAAAAUUGAACAUUUUAGGGACCAAAUUAAGUAUUGGCAGUUGAAUUGAAUUAUGUAAAUGCUUAAUAAAAUAGGUUUGUUUCUUGUCAGUGGUUAAUAAGUUGUGAUCACCCCUUAUGCAGAUCUUGUUAUGUUAAUAAUCUCAAUGAAAUGGGGUUGUACACUUACUAUUUAUGCUUUCAUAAUACUGGACCUUGAUUAAUUUAAGUAUGAGAAUAAUGAUGUUAGUUUACUCAAAUUGAUGUUUUAAUUUUAAAAGAAUUUGCAAAUACUUGCAUUAAGUUGCAUACAACUUAAGUAUUUUCAGCCAUGAACCCGGUAGCAGCCAUUGAUCCUGUGAUAGACCCUAUGCUCUGUCGAGGGAAUCAUUCCCAUCUACAACUGAAAAUCAGUCUAUCGAUUGUGAGUAAAUAUCCAGAACGUACCCCUCCUUCUCGAGCCACGUCUAUUUAUAUCCCAAGUACACCCUUGUGUACAAUAGUAACUCCAAUUUAACUUACUAAAAUGCAGGUCUUGCCAAACUUUUUUGAAAAAAGUUAACAGAAGAACAACUCUGCUUUACGAAAAAAAAUACUUUACUGUGACUUCUUUUGAAGAAUAAAAAAUACAUUAUAGUCGAAUUAUUUGAAUUAUUAACAAAUGUAUAAGAUUAAUUAAUACCCUUAUUUGUGCAAAAACUGCAACAUUCCUUUUAGUUGUUAUAGUAAUCAGUGGUAAGCACACACUGGGGAAUAGAAUAGUUUAAGUUUAUAUGCUUCAGUGUUCUUGUGUGAAUACCAUGUUAAGUUUUUGGUUGAUGCAAGUAUUGUGGCACAAGAUGGAGCUAUUGGCUUAAACCGAGGAUUCAUGCCCAAAACAUUAAAAAUCCGAUUAUGUUUCCUUAAAUUCCGAUUUUGUUGAUAUUUUAUACUUAAAUUACAUCUUAAAAAAUAAGCAGAUAAAACUCUGUUUCAAACAAGAGAUUGCUAUUCUCAUUCCAUUAAGAACAAAUACUCACAACAACAAGAGAUUGUGAUUAGUUACCUGGCCUAUGUCUAAUUUAUUUUUCCGUACUACAUAUGACAUUGUCAAAUGUCUGAUUGCAGCUAGUGAGAAAGAGUUUCAAACAAUCGCUGAGGAAAACCGCAACAAACAAAAGAAAAACACAUAGUCAAUGAUGGUGAACUUAAGAAUGAUUUUGUUUUUGCCAUUUUUUACUGCUAUUAUUUGUGGGAGUUACUUUUGCCAAACUGCUACGAGUGAUAUAUCUCAGAAGGGGCUGUAAAAUUUGUAGGACACAAGUUUGUUCUAGGUGCACUAUUCUCUUGAAAAUCAAACAAAUAAUUGAGCAUAGUUGUUAAAAUCGUUCAGAUACAACCCUCAUUGUUAAUACAAGACACAUGGCUUGAUUAUUCAUUGUACUACUAAUAUGACUCCAUACCUAUGAAGCAUGGAUAUAGACGGACACGACACACAAUGACGCACCAACAUUGAUAAUAUUUUGAGAAAAUAACAUAAUUCAAUGUAAUAAUAUAUGCGUGUCAAUGUGUCCUACUUCAUAAUACACUUAAUCCCAUGAGUGUUUGUGCUUGAUAGCUCUUUACAUCUCUAUGAAUUAGAAUAUGUAGAUAGCAAAUGUCUUUUAAAGAUAAUGAACAUGUUCGUACUAUAUAUAAUCUGAAUCGGGAACAAUUUGUUUGGAAUAUAUAAUACGAACGGGUUCAGCAUUCAAUAAAAAAAAUCAAAUCAACUAAUUUUUUUUAUAAGGAAUGAGAUUUUACCUUGUGCUUGGUGUUUGAAAAAGCUUGAAAUGGUAUCUUUGGGUAUAAGUUUACCCUUCAAAAGAGAGAGUUUAUUUAAGUUCCCAUGAGGAUAUCUUUGGGUGCCAACUGGAGUUAAAGAUCUUAAUUACGGAGCGUUAGUCAAAAAGAAAGAGGUAGUACUUUGGUGGUAUAUUGAUAAAGAAAUAUUUAAUACACUUGAAAAUCCAAAGAUGGUCUUAUAAAGAAAAUGACAAGAAUUUUUUUUCCAAAUGGGAUGUAUAUUUUUUACUUAAUUUAAAUACUUGAUAAUCUAAUUGUUUUCUUUGAUAUCUAAUAUUUUAGAAAUCAUCUCCAUCAUAUCGAAAUUUACACUAGUGUUUCAAAUUGUAGACCACAUGUUCAAAUUGAAAGCAACUACACUAAACUAAUGUUCGUACAAGUGUUUAAUUGCAUACAUGAUAUGUUUAGCAUUUUGUUAAUGUCAACUAUAAGUCAUUCCAUGUAGCUUCGAGGAGGUUUCUUUGUAGUGAAAAUUAAUGUCUCAUCUUUUAGUGUAUAUAUAAUAGGAGAAUGUUAAGGUGCUCUUUAGGGCAUUGGUUAACCAACCAAAACAAGUAAUUUUUUCACAUAAGAUGUAAAAGAGGCUAUAGAUAUUUUAGGGUUAGAGAUAUUUUAGGGUUUCAUUCCAUGAUAUCUUCCUUUCUUUAUGUAAAAAGGUUAGAGAUAUUUUAGGGUUCUAUAGAGAGAAGAUGUGUAAAUUAAAACCAUAAUUUCCAUCACUUUGUUAUUUAUUUUUGACAGGUUCAUCACAUGUCAUAACCCAUAAUACCAAGGGAAUCUCUUUUUAUAUAUUAUUCUUCAUAGGCCAUAAAUGUCUGAAGGUGCAUAAACAUUAAAAUGGAAAAAAAGUUAAUUAUUGAAACUUUUUGUCGGUUUAACUAUAUAUAACUGUAAUCAUACUUGACUAUGAUUCAAUAUUGAAGGCAAUUACACGUGUUUGUACAAGUGUUUAAUUGCAUGCAUGAUAAGUUUAGCAUUUUUGUCAACUGUAAGUCAUUCCAUGUGCUUUCGAGGAAGUUUCUUUGUAAUGAAAAUUAAUUACUCGUAUUUUAAUGCUAUAUAUAAUAAUAUAGGGUUUUUAUUGUAUUGAUUGUAGAAAUUUGAGGUAAAACAAGUAACAUAAUAUAAAAAAAUGAAGUUGGGUUUGAUAUUCAGUUCCCUUUUAUAUUUUGUGAUUUUAAUGUUAAUGCAAAAUCAAGGAUGUAAGGGAUGCUUAGAGAAGGAGAGAAUAGGGCUGUUGGAGAUCAAGCACUACAUCUUGUCACAACAAGACAAAGGAGAUUCUUAUAAUAACAAAGAAUUGGGUUCAUGGAUUGAUGAUAGAGAUAGCAAUUGUUGUGUUUGGAAUAGAGUCAAGUGCUCUUUUGGUCACAUAGUUGAAUUAUCCAUCUAUAGUUUACUAUAUUUGUUCCCUGAUCCUAAUAUGUUAAAUGUUUCAUUGUUCCGUCCAUUUGAAGAGUUACGUCUCCUCGACUUGUCCAAGAACAAUAUUCAAGGUUGGAUUGACAACGAAGGUACUACUUUGGUCCUUAUAUAAGAGUUCUUUAACAAAUUUAUACAAAUUAGAAAAGUUGGUUAAUUUUUAUUUAUUGUGUUAAAUUUGUUAAAAUUUUAAUUUGGUCUCUAACAUAGUCUCAGAUACUAAUUUUUUAUACAUUCUUUAAUUUUAGGAUCGAGCUCUGUAAUUUUUUAGGCCAAUUGAGUGAUUAAUUUUUCUAUUUUAUUGUUCUCUUUCAUUUAUUAAUUUUUCUAUUUCACGAUUCACUGUUUUUUUUUUCUUCUUUCAUUUUUCAUGACUUUUGUUUCCAUAUUGUAACAAAUUUAAAAAUAAACCAUUGACAUAAACAUUUUUCAUUAAUCAAAAGAUUGUGUAUUCUUAUUUCCAUAUUGACAUAAACAUUUUACGAUGAUUUUAUAAAUUCAAAAGAUUGACUUUUGUUUCCAUAUUGUCAUCUUUCAUAGCUAGCUUCCUCUGUUUCUUUGAAACUAACUUAUUAUGCUUCUUUUGAAGGUUUUCCAGGACUUAAAAGUUGGAGACAUUAGACCUUUCAAAUAACUAUCUAAAUAGUAGCAUCUUAUCAAAUUUGAAUGGAUUAACGGCUCUAACAACUUUGAACCUCGGUUAUAACAAUAUAGAUAAUAACUUCUUCUCUCAAGGUACAAUUUGUUUCUAUAAUUUAGUACUUAUUUAUAAGACUUAGUUAACAAAUUUAAAAUUUUUGUUAAUUUUGAUUUUUUUGUUGUUUUAAAUAUGCUAGCAUUUUAAUAUUAAUUUUAAAAAUUAGAAUUAAUUGACAAUAUAAAAAUAGAUACCGGUAUCUAGUAUAUCAAUAGGUCUUAUUAAAUUUGGUGGGAUUAGUAUAAAUUUCGACCAAUACAAAAACAAGUGUCGUAAAUAGUACAGUAAAUUGUUUUUUUUUUAAGGAAGUACGGUAAAUGUUAUGUCACUAGCAUAAUUAUAAAAUAAUUAAUAUAAGAGAGACAAUUUUAAUGAGGCCUUUUUUUUUUUGUCAAGUAGUCUAGUGUUAGAGCUCACACAAUUUAAUUGUGGAGAAGUGGAGUGUCCGGGGUUCGAACCCCGGCUCCUGCAUAUAAUAUGCAAUAUCCUUACCAACUGAGUUAAGUUCACGGGGAUUUAAUGAGGUCUUUUAUAAAGGGAGAAAUAUAUAAAUGUUUCCAUAAAUGUAACUUAAUUGAUCGGAACAUUGCAAUAUGUUAUGGUCGGUGUUUGAAUCCUUAUUCUUCAUUUAUUUACUACAAGAGAUGAAUUUAAUAAAUUACUUGACAAAAAAAAUAAAUAAAUUGUUAAUAUGUCACACGCACUUAGUCAUUAAUUUUAUUAUUUUUGACAAAUAGUCAUUAAAACUCAUGGAACCCACGUUCAUGAAGUUUUUUUUUUAAAGAGGUUCACUGGUUGAUUUAGGUGUUAGACUAUUUUCUUCUUAAAUUAACAAUAACUGAAAUUAAUCUGUGAAAUGAAUUUUUUUUUUAAGUCACCAUUGUUUUUUAUUGACCAAUUCGGUCUUUAAGAUAGUCUCAGAUAUUGAUUGAUACAAGGAAAGUAUUUUUAAUUUUAUAAUGAUUUCAUAAAUUCUUUAAUUUUAGGAUCGACUUAUGUAAUUUUUUUAGUACAAAUUGAGUGGUUUGUUUUUCUAUUUCACAUGGCUAACUGUAUUUUCCCUUCAUUUUUCGUGACUUUUAUUUCUCUUUUGCAACAAGUGCUGAAAUAAACUGUUAACAAGAAACUGUUUUCAUUAAUCAUGUUUCUUUUGAAGGGUUUCCUAGACUUAAAAGAUUGGAGACAUUAGAUCUUUCAGGGAACUAUCUAAAUAGUAGCAUUUUGCCAAGUUUAAAUGGAUUGACUGCUCUAACAACUUUGAAGUUGGGUUCUAAUUUGAUGAAAAACUUCUCUGCUCAAGGUACGUUUUGUUUCAAUAAUUUAUUUAUGGAGUUUAUGUGAUGAAGUGAAUGAAUUAAGAAGACAAUUAUAAGAUCCCCAAGAAAAUAUUAAUUUUUAACGAUAAUAAGAAACUUUAAAUAAAAUGAAAAACUGGUUAUGAAUCAUUGGUAGGAAUUGAAAUUAAUUAACAAAAGCUUUUCAUUAGGAGGAAAGAAAUCGGAAUAAAAAGUGAAUGCAAUACUUGUUUGCACACUUAAAACUACUCAUCAUUAUGUAUAUUGUUCAAGGAUUUUCGAGAUCAAAGGAGUUGGAAGUCUUAGACCUUUCAGGAAAUAGGCUGAAUUGCAACAUCAUAUCAAGUUUGCAUGGAUUCACAUCAUUAAGGAGUUUGAUUCUAAGUGAUAACAAGUUCAAUUGUUCUUUCUCCACUUUCGGUACACAUCUUCAAUUCUUAUAUUAUGAUGAAUGUUUUUAUUUUCAUUUUUUAAAAAGAACUAUAUUAUGUCCUUGCUACAGAUUUUGCCAAAUUUAGUCGGCUAGAACUAUUGGACUUGAGUAUCAAUGGAUUUGGUGGUUCUCUACAUGUGGAAGGUACCUGUACUAUUAUUAUUGUUGUUUGUUAUUUUUUUGGGCACAGCAGAUAUAUAAUGUCACUCUCCACACAAUACUCUUUAGACACUGUGGAGCCUUGAGCUUCCAUAAAUUUUUCCACAAACCUGCAUUCUCAUCCAAAGGUGGUUAUGGACUUUGACUAGCCAUUUCCUCUUUGACGCGAUAGGUUGCCGACUUCAAUGAGUAAAUGCCAUCUUUAUCAUAUUCCCAUACCAAUUUCUCAUCUAGGAUUCUCCAAGAAUUUGAGAUUUCAUCUUCUUGUUUUGUCAUAUGCACCACUUCAUUCCCAAAUAUAUUCAUUAAGAUCCUAAUGCAUAAUUUGGUUGGUAACCAAUAUGAGCAAUGAAUUCUCAGUGGAAACUAGUCUUCAACGCUAUUCUCUAACUAUGUACUCUCUUUUUUUCCUGCAGAUGUUCAACAUUUGAAAAACUUGAAAAUGUUAAGUUUAAGAAAUAAUCAAAUGAACGGCUCAAUUGAAGGUAUCAAUACUACCAAACACAAAUAAUUAAUUCAUAAUUGCUUCACGGGAUGGUUUUGGGGAUGGAUUGUUACAAUGAAGAUAACUUUUAUAUUGAUUUUAAAUUUUAAAUAAUUAACAAAAAGAAUGAAAUAAGUUAAUUAAUGUAUAUAUUGACGCCAUUGGAAAAACUUUUAAGAUUUUUAUGAUAAUGUCAAUUUUUGUAUAGAUGACAGGACAUAGUUAAUUAAUUAUGACAGGACUAUGCAAUUUGAAGGAUUUGGUAGAAUUGGAUAUCAGCUAUAACAUGUUUAGUGCUAAACUUCCAGAGUGUUUAAGCAACUUAACAAACCUUAGAGUUCUUGAACUUAGUAAUAAUCUGUUCAGUGGAAAUUUUCCAUCUUUCAUUAGCAAUCUCACAUCACUGGCAUACUUAUCCUUCUAUGGAAAUUACAUGCAAGGAUCAUUUUCAUUGAGCACUUUGGCUAAUCACUCAAAUCUUCAGCAUCUAUAUAUUUCACCGGAAAACAGUGGAGUUCUCAUUGAAACUGAAAAGACAAAGUGGUUUCCCAAAUUUCAAUUGAAGACACUCAUUCUUAGAAAUUGCAACCUAAACAAGGAGAAAGGAGGUGUCAUUCCUACUUUUCUUUCAUAUCAAUAUAAUUUGAUAUUCUUGGACCUCUCCAGAAACAAUUUAGUUGGUUCAUUCCCAAGUUGGUUGAUAGAUAAUCAUAACAUGAAUUAUUUGGAUAUAUCAAACAACAAUUUGAGUGGUUUGCUUCCAAAAGAUAUUGGUAUAUUCCUUCCUAGUGUUAAGUAUUUGAACUUUUCAUGGAAUAGCUUUGAAGGAAAUAUACCUUCAUCAAUUGGUAAGAUGAAACAACUUGAGUACUUGGACCUCUCUCAGAAUCAUUUCUCAGGUGAGUUACCUAAACAACUGGCCACAGGUUGUGAUAAUUUACAAUACUUGAAGCUCUCCAACAACUUUCUACAUGGGAAGAUUCCAAGAUUUUCAGUGAAUAUGUUUGGGUUAUUUCUUAAUAAUAACAACUUUAGUGGAACACUUGAAGAUGUAUUGGAAAACAAUACAGGAUUAGGAAUGUUAUUCAUAUCCAAUUACUCAAUCACAGGCAAAAUUCCUAGUUCAAUUGGGAUGUUUUCUGAUAUGCAAGUCCUUCUUAUGUCCGGAAAUCUAUUAGAAGGUGAGAUCCCUAUUGAGAUUUCCAACAUGGCCAUUCUUCAAAUGUUGGAUCUUUCUCAAAACAAGUUAAAUGGAUCGAUCCCAAAGUUCAGUAGUUUGACAUCUCUAAGGUUCUUGUAUUUGCAAUAGAAUGAUCUCUCUGGAUCAAUACCAUCUGAACUCUCUGAAGGCUCACAACUACAACUUCUAGAUUUAAGGGACAACAAAUUUUCAGGUAAAAUUCCCAAUUGGAUGGAUAAGCUCUCAGAGUUAAGGGUCCUUCUAUUAGGAGGGAACAAUUUUGAAGGAGAUAUUCCAAUUCAAUUGUGUCCUUCUAAAAAAGAUCAACAUAAUGGACUUAUCACGGAACAUGCUCAAUGCUUCAAUACCAUCUUGCUUUCAAAAUAUGUCAUUUGGAAUGAGACAAUAUGUUGAUGCUCACGGUUUUGAAUUCUCAAUGUCCGAAGGUUUCACAGGUGAAUUUAUUCCAAAUUUGAAUUCUUUCUUCAAUGCUAGUUUGUCUAUUGGGCAGUUUUUUAAUGAAAAUUCGUUGGAUGAAGAUCUAGAAUUUGAAGUGCAGUUUAGAACAAAGCACUAUGAUUACUUUUACAAGGGUAUAGUUCUAAAGAUCAUGACUGGAUUGGAUUUAUCAUGCAAUAAGCUAACAGGUGUCAUCCCUUCUCAAAUUGGAGACCUACAACAAAUUAAAGCCUUGAAUCUAUCACAUAAUUACUUGUCUGGUCCUAUUCCAAUAACUUUUUCAAAACUUACCCAAAUAGAGAGCCUUGACUUAUCAUACAAUAACUUGAGUGGUAAGAUUCCUUAUGAACUAACCAAGUUGACCUCUUUAGAAAUCUUCAAUGUGUCAUACAACAACCUUUCUGGAACACCACCUAGCACAAGACAAUUUGCAAACUUUGAUGAGUACAACUACAGAGGUAAUCCCGGUCUUUGCGGACAACUCCUAAAUCAAAAGUGUGAACGUGUCGAGUCUUCACCUUCAUCACAAUCCAAUGACAAUGGAGAAAAGCAAACCAUGGUGGACAUGAUAACAUUUUAUUGGAGUUUCAUAACAUCUUAUAUUACAAUACUAUUGGCCUUCAUAACUGUGUUGGGCAUCAAUCCACGUUGGCGUAUGGCCUGGUUUUAUUACAUCAGUAAGUUUAUGCGUAGAUUCUUUCCAUCUUUUCCAUUAUAUUGAUGAGUGUCCAUAGUUCCUGUUGAAACUUUAUGUGGAGUCUAAAAUAUUUGGAUACUGUAUUUUUUAUAUUUACCGUUAAUUCCAGACAGUUUGAGACAUUGGCUUUUAAGCUCCUCUUGUCAACUUUAUGUUCAUCAUGUUGUUUGUGUGAUGUACUUAUCUGGAGAACUUUGAAGAUAUUGUGAUAUAUUAUUUUUGAAGAUCCAAGAGUUCCUCAAAUAGCUCUGAGACCUGUUUCAAAGAUCCAUCAAAUGACGUUCUGCAGCCAUUGACCCGGCAGCAGCCAUUGAUUCUGUGACAGGCCCUAUGCUAGAGUAUUAUUGAAAAGACGAAAAGAAAACGAGCAAAAACUGUUUUUUACUCGAGAGCAUGCUCUGUCGAUGGAAUCAUUCCCUUCUAGAGAGCCUUGUGUACAAUACUAACUCCAAUGCCAUUAAUAUUUGCCUUUAGUUUUCUUUUGUCAAUAAUAAUUCUUCAAGCACCAAAUCGGUCCAUGUCUAAGCCACUCAAAUUAAUCACUAACUCUAUUAAUAUUUCAAAUUAUUCAUUUUUUUUAUCAAAAGUUUCUGAACCAGAUCCUUCGACAUGUGACAAAAACAUAAAGAAAAGGUUCUAAUUGACAAACUUUUGACUAAGUGCUUUUGUAAGUAAUUCAUUAUGAGACCCUACGUUUUACAGUUGCUUUCAUAAUGUUAUUGUUUUUUCAUUGAAAGGUUUAGCUCUCGUAUUAACACUUUAGUUGUUUUCUAUAAAAGUAACUUCUUAUAUUUUUCAAAUAACUGGAAUGUCAAUGUAGGUUGAAUCUGGGUGCAGAACUAUGACAGAAGCGAUAUUACGAGUAGAUUUACACAUUUGUCUUAAAAUGACCGAAAUUAAUAAAUAGGUAAGAGUAUAAUAGAAAAAUUAGCAUUAAUGUUUUAUUGUUACUGUAAAACAAUUAUUUUUUUAUUUGUCCUCGUGAGUUUAACUCAGUUGGUAUAGAUAAUGUAUAAUAUAUGUAAGGUCCAGGUUCAAAUCCCAGCCAAAAAAAAAAAAAAAAACAAUUUCUUUUUUCUUUCCUGAAUUAUAAUUUGAGAUGGAGAGAGUAUUAAUUAAACUAGUAAUGUUAACAUACGUAUUUAAUCUUGCAAGAUAACAUUAGCAUCUUUGUCAAAUAUCAUCAUCUCUAGUCAACUCCAAGUCUUUCCUGAGGUUCCAGGAAGUUUCUUGCAAUUAAAAAGUCCCAUCUUUUUUUUUUUAGCAAAGACAAAAUUAAUGCAUUUCAUUCAAAAACAAAAAGUAACAAAGUUGAAGGUACACUAUAAAAAAGAUGGGGGCUAAGAUGAGAUAAGGAAGCUCUAGCUAUACUAUGAGCAACCCUAUUAGCUUGUCUCCUAAUAUACGACACUUUAAAGUCGGUAUUUGUAAACAAGAGACCUCUACAUUGAGAAAUAAUGUCUCCAACUUCAUUGAGGUGAGCGGAGGUAGUGUGAAUGGCAUCAGCAAGGGUCAUACAAUCUGUUUCAAAGCGGACAGUUUGAAAUCCCAAAGAGAUUGCCAAUUUUAUCGCCUCCGACAAUGCAGUAGCUUCAGCUUCUAAAACAGUCAUCGAGGAUGGAAAAAAUGCAGAUUUUGCAAUUAAGAGUUUCCCCUCCGAAUUUUGAAAACAGAUUUCAUAUCCAACAAUUGAUUAUGGUGGAAAAUUGCUGCGUCAACGUUGCAUUUUAUCACACCGGAAGGCGGUUUAACCCAAGAGAUGAUGUGGUUUGAAUUUUGAACCUGUAGUUUAGCUCUUUACAUACAAGUCCAUUCGUGGAGUGUAUCCUUUGCUCGAGUAAUAACAACAGUGGCUGGUGUAUUGGAAGACUCCCAAAGUCCCAUCUUUUAGUAUAAGGUGAAUACAGGAAUUUGGGGCAAGACCGAAAAGUCCCAAUAUAAUUGAUUCUUGCAGGAAAGAAAGACACUUACAAAACUAAAUGAUAUUCACCGUCAAUUUACAGAUUUUUUACACUCGCAAUUGUCAUAUCAUUAAAACCAUUUAACUUCAUUGAUAACUACUUCUAAAAUUACAUAAAUAUGAUUUGAUUGUGAUUUGUUAAUAAUAUAAUAUUUUUAAAUUGACAGUGUAUAUAAAAAAUUAACUAUGGCUACAUCAAGGUUUAUUAUAUCAUAGUUUAAAAAGUGAAUACUUUUUCCUCUCCUCACUGAUUCCAUUUUUUUUCUUCCGAUGUAAGCAUGAAUCGAAAGUUUUCAGUUUGAAGAGAAUAAGAAUUUUGGGGAGUUCUCUGAUUUUCCUUACCCUGUUAGCUCAAUUUCACUGACUUAGAACAUAGAAGAGGAAUGGAAAAUUCAAAUACAAAAUCUAGGCAAUGGCCAGCAUUUUAAGUAUAAUAGAUGGGGAAAAAAAGUAUUUAGAAGGAAAUAAUUAAGAUUUAUUGAUAUUGAAAAAAAAAAUAAGAUUUAUUGAUAUUGUAAAAUGAUAUGUAAAAUGAUAUAUAUAGUUUCUAAACUAAUUCAUAUAGUUACUAUUAUAGUAUUUUUGAAUCCUCAUGAGGACAUUAUUGUUCUUCCUAUCAAUCAAGUUAAGAAAUUAAUUCAUAUUGUUUAAACUCAACACCCUCGAGACUAGGGUUUCUAGUGUCAUAAAGAAUUGACUGAAAAGAGAAAUUUUAUUUGGUUUAAUCGAAAGACUCUAUUAGGACAGUCAUGAUACUAAUUUGCUUAUUAUAACUUUGUAGCUACAUAAGAUGGAUGACAAUACAGUGUUUCUUAAUGACAACAUUAAUGAUACAAUAUGGUGCAACUGAAGAAAACUUUCGUGUCAAUUGAUAUAAAAGUAGAUGAUUUGCAAAAUCAUGUAAUCCACUUAUGAGUUAAGAAAUUUGUCUCUUUAGUGUUACCAUAAAUUUUGAUAAAGUAAUUGUCUCAUUUGGUUUUGAGAUAAUAUUAUGAAGAAUUGUGGAUUUAGUAAGCUCAGUGGGGGUAAACUUAUAUUUCUAGUUUAAUGUGCCGGUUUUAUUUUAUUUAGUCAACUAUGAUAUAUGUUCGUUGUGUGAAACCAAGAAAUCUCUAACAAAAGUUUGGUGAUGAAAGAUCUUAGGGACACCUCUUUUGUUUAAGCAUUUUUGAUACUUAGAGAUACUUCUCAAGGUAUCCUUCAGAUGAUGUCACAAAAGAAUUAUAUCAAUAAAGUUGAAAAUGAAAUGACAUAAUUUUUUGGAUGAUCUCAAUCACCGAGAGAGACUUUUCAGUCUCAAAUAUUGCCCAAUUAAAAAAUUUAUGAAUUCAUAAAUUUAAGUAUUUUCCUACAUUUUACCUAUAGGAUUUUUAUGUAUGAUUUUAUUAUACACAUUUGGAAAUAGCGUAUUUAAUGAGAUUGAAAUAUGAGAGGGGAAAGGAAAAGGUUAGAAGAUGUAGGGUAAAACUGAUUCUCAUUGAUUAACUACAUUGAUACAUGGCAUAUAUAGAGUCGUAUGAAAAGUUAGUUGAUAACAAACUAGCUUACUUGCCAAACAAGUAAGUCCAUAACUAACUAACAGACUAAUGAGAAUAAAACAAUGUUAUAUACCUAACAAUCACUCCCCUUGUUUGAAAAAUACUUCUAGCUUCAAAGGUUUAGUCUUGAUGUCUGCUGGUUGAUUAAUGUUUGAACUAUAAUAAGCAAAUUCCAUAACUCCUUCUUUUGUUAAGACCCUACGAAAAUAUAUGUGAUAUCUAUGUGCUUACAUCUUCCAUGCAUUGAAAGAUUCUUUGACAAUUUUCCUGAUGAAUAUAUGUACUACAGAUCAGGGCUGGCCAUGGACCUGUGCAAACAGUGCUACGACACAGGACUUCAAAGUUUUGAGGGCCUAAAUUUUAAAGGUCAAAAUUAUGAGUUAUGAUCUUCUUCAUUUUCCUUAUUUAUUACUAUAGCUUUGAAGAUUUUUAAAGUAUAUAUUAAAUAAUAGAAAAUGUUACGAAUGUCCACGAAAUAUUCUUUAAAGUCUUUAAAUUUGUGUAUUCAAUUAUGGUUUGAAAUUAAAGUAUUUUAUUUUCUAAGGAAUAAUUUCUUAAUUUGAUAUUCUUAAUGAGGACCUCGGAGACACUCGUUGGUCGUUAGUAGAACCUUUAAAUAAUUAAGGGCAAAUUACACUCACCUCUCUUGAGGUCUCUUUAAACAACACAUAUACCCCCUCUAGUUUUCAAAAACACUCACCUCCCCUCUAAACUAACUCUGCUAGCCUAAAAUGUUGAUUCUUAACAACCCUGAUUCAUUCCAUUACAGAAAAACUCCACUACAAUGAAAUCUUUAUCUACCGUGUAAAUUUAUAGGUUCGUCACCGGUAUUCAUACAUUCCACCGCUAUGGGCAACUCCAAAUCAAUUUCACCAUUCUCUAAACAAUUCUUAAAAGUAUAUCACUUUUAAAAAAGCGUACCGCACUAGCUAGAUGUACAUAGAAAGCAAGAACCAAUUUUUGACUUCAAGCAGGGCCCAAGUAAAAAGCAAAGCAUUGAAAUCAUUGCAAGAGCAGAAACGACCCUGCCAACAAUCAAGAUUUAAAAAUAAUUGCUGUUUUCUUUAGUGAUUAGUUACAUAAUGGAGUGUAGAAUGGUUACAAUAACAUAGAUUUUCAAAUCACUUAGAAUUUUAUAAUAUAGUUUAGGCACGGUCAUCACAUACCUAAUUAGUGAUUUAAAUUUGAUUUUUUAUAGUGAAAGAAUCUAUGUUUCUUAUGAUUUAUAAUUUUUUAACGAGUAAACAACAAUUUUGUUAUCUGAAUAUGUGACAAAUUAUCACCAUAGUCUUUGAUGUAUCGAAAUUACAAAUGCAUCUUCAAGUGUAUCUUUAAUUAAUCAUUAUCAUCUUCAAACAUAUUUCGUCGUUUAUCAUUUUAGUCCUUAAAAUGUAUCUUUAGUGAUGAUUUAUUAAUAUUAUAAAAUGUGAAAUAACUGGUACAAACUUUUUUACAUCUCAAUCAACCAACAAAUCCGUCCAAAAGUUAGAAUCUCUUCCAUCUCUUAUGACCUUUCUUAAAUUUCCCUCAAAUCACCCCGGUAAUGAUGAUAUAGACCUUAAAUCCCUCCACCAAACUGAACCAAUGUUUCUUACCAAAUUCAAACUAUCAUCAUAUUUGGCGUUUGUCUUUUAGCCCUAUUUUCUAAACAAACAAACAAACAUAAAUAAGUUGUAAAAAAGAGAGAAUUGAACUUAAAAUCUUAAGAUGAGUGUACUUUAUGAUCUCAAAUCAAUACCACGAGACACACUCAAAUGAGUUUCCACUUUCUAUUUCUCAUUGUUUCUAAUCUAUCCAUCCAUGAAGCACAAUACUCCUCGGGUUAAGGGUGUGUCCCGGUGUGAAAUAUGUAUCGUGUCCCACACCAACACCGACACCGACACAUAUCUCCGUGUCGUAACUGCAUCUGAGUUUGUGCUUCACAUCCUUCCAUCAACAUCAAUUCUAAGAGUAUUUUACAGAUCCACAUCCUAUGCAAGAAAUCACCCUUUCAUUGACCUUGCGAGUGUAUAUCCCCUCAAUUCUAUCCCAAAGCUUUAAAACAAUCAAGGAGCUCAAUUAUGCUUUGAGAAGACACUAACUAAUAGUAACUAAGGUCAUGGAAAUGGGAAGUGAAGUCAUUGAAACUCAACAAGACAUCAUUAAGUUGCUCCCACAAUGAAAUUGGAUCAAAUUCAAAACAAUCUCCAUCAUGAUCGUAAUAUGGAAUUAAGGAUGUGAUUUUGUGAUACAAUUUUUUUUGUUUCUUUCUUCAAAUUUACAGUAACUCUUUACAACUAUUACACACAUAUUUAAUAAAAUUUUACAAGCUUGUUGAAUUUCAAAAUUCAGUUUUAAGAUGAAAAUCAUACCCAUGAUAUCAAUAAAACUUCACUCCAAUUCAAAAUUAACUCGAUAUAUACACUUUUGAAAUAUAUAAAAAAUAAAUAAAAACAUCUUAUUGUAAACUUAUUUUUGAUUAAAUCUUAUAAGAUUUUAACAUAAAAAAUCAAUGUAAAUAGUUAUUCUAAAAAUAUCAUAUUAUAUCUAAAAUUUAUACUAUAUAUAAAGAAAACUACCCCUUUCAGCAUUUUAGGGUUGUAUUUUUUCUUCCAAAAAUACCCUAAAUUUUCAAAUACAAAUAACACAUGUAACAAACAAAUAGAUAAAAAUAAAUUUAAUAUUAAAACAAAUAUAACAAACACGAUAUGAAUAUAUAUAUAUCUUUGGUUUUUUUUCUUUUUCAUUUAAUAAGUGUAACAAACUAGAUGAGGAUAUUUAUACUUACUUUUACAUUAUUUCAAUUAAAUCCUCAAACAACUUUUUCUAUAAUAAAUAUUGUUAUUGGUUUCAUUAAAAUAAAAGAAUUUUAGAUUAUAUUUUUUUUGUUAUAUUGUUGGUGUAAUUGAAAUAGAUAAUCAUGGUUAGAUUGCUUUGUUAUAACUUGAAAAUAACAAACAUUUAUAUUUUUAAUUUUAAUCAAAAUAAAAUUUCAUAAAAAACAUCGUUCAUAAUUUUCAAAUGUUAGCGCAAUAAAAAGAGCGGAAAGACAGACAGGUGAGUGCCCGUCUUUUCGCUAGUCAUCAAUAAUGUAAGUGUACUGAAGUUUUAUCCAUUCUCAAGUUAUAUCACUGCCACAAAUUGUUCUAAACAAUUGUUUCAUUUAAUUAAGAAAUGUUAAAUAAGUCCCUUAAUAAAAAAUGAGAAUAUUUAACUGAAAAUUGAUUGGCGGUUUCACUCGCUAUCGGCAUUUGGUGGAACACCUUAAUCUUACUUAUCGGUAGACCUUUCCGUGGUCCAAUUCUUAAUUAAAGUAUCGAUUAUUAGGACUUAAGUCCAUGAGAAGAGCCUCAUGGUUUAAAUGACGCAUCAAGCACUUUGGUCUACUUGAUUUGGGACUCCUAACAUAUUCUUUGCAGCUAUAACAACGUUUCUUCGCAGCUUGAUAAGAUUUUGUGGCGGUAGUUUACGUGAUUUUUUUCUUCGAUAUAUUAAAACGGAAAACAAAGGUAUCAGACACUACCUAUACCUCUUUGCCAUAUCCAUUUUUAUGAUUACUGAUUGUAUUUUUAGAACCUUGGCAACUACUACCUCUGUCGUAAAUUAUAAGUUGUUUUGGUCAUUUCACACGUAUUAAAAAUUGAAAUUAAUUUGUAUAUGAAAGAGAUAUUAUGAGUUGCUUUACACAAUUAUCUUAAUAAAUAGUAUCAGAAAAAUAAAUUAAAGAAUUGAAAUGAGUAAUAUUAAUAAAUAGUUAAGAGUAUAAUAGAAAAAUUAUUACUAAUGUUUUUAUUGUUAUUGUAAAACAAUUUAUAAUUUGAGACAACUUUUUUUCCAUACUUAUAAUUUGAGACAGAGAGAGUAUUAAACUAAUAAUGUUCACAUACGUAUUUAGUCUUGCAAGAUAACAUUAGCAUUUGUCAUAUGUAAUCUUCUCUAGUCAACUUCAAAUCUUUCUUGUGCUUCGAGGAAAUUUUUUGCAAUUGAAAAGUCCCAUCUUUUAGUAUAAUAAUAUAAAGUGAAUACAGGAAUUUGGGGCAAGACUGAAAAGUCCCAAUAUAAUGAUUCUUGCUUGAAAAAAAAGACACUUACAAAACUGAAUGAUAUGUUAUCAUAUUUUUCGGGUAACAUCUUGCAAUUUUUACGAGUUUAAUUUAUAUGUGCCAUCAAUUUAAAGACUUUUUUAUGAUAACUACUUCUAAAAUUAUAGAUAUGAUUGAAUGUGAUUUGUUAAUAAUUUAACUUUUUUUACAUUGACGAUGUAUAUCAAAAUUAACUAUGGCUAUAUCAAGGUUUAUUAUAUCAUAGUUUAAAAAGUGAAUACUUUUUCCUCUCCUCACUGAUUCCUUAUUUUGUCCGAUGUAGGAAGGUCCCGAAAGUUUUCAGUUUGAAGAGAACAAGAAUUUUUGGGAGUUCUGAUUUUCCUUUCCCUAUUAGCUCAGGAAUGGAAAAUUCAUAUAAAAAAUCUAGGCAAUGGCUAAAACAGCAUUUUAAGUAUAAUAGAUGAGGAAAAAAAGCAUAAUAGAAGAAAAAAAAUUAAGAUUUAUUGAUAUUGGAAAAAAUUAAGAUUUAUUGAUAUUGUAAAAUGAUAUAUAAAUGGGAGAAAAAAAGUAAAUUGGGAGAAUUUUACUUCUUAUAACUUUAAUAAUCUUAUUUUAAACUGGUUAAACUUUUCUUAAUGACCGACGUUAGUAUAGUUAAUUACUUACCAUACUAUUUGUUAGAGGGAGGAGUUGAAUAAAUGACCUCUUUACCACUCAAUCCUUAUUGAAAGUAAUACGUAUUUAAAUAUCAUGUAAGAUAAGUUUAGCAUCUUUCUUAAAUGUCAUCAUCUCUAGUCAACUCCAAGUCUUUCUUUUGCUUGGAGGAAGUUUCUUGUAAUAGAAAAUAUCCCAUAAUUUUAGUAUAUAUAAUAUAAUAAUAUGAGAUGAUUAUAUGAGGUCGGGAAGAACUGCUCACAUUCCUAAAAAAAAUGAAGCUGGGUUUGAUAAAUAGUUUCCUUUUAUAUUUUGUGACAUUGAUGUUAAUGCUAACUCAAGGAUGUAACGGUUGCUUAGAGAAAGAGAGAAUAUCAUUGUUGGAGAUCAAACACUACUUCUUGUCACAAACAGGAGAUCCUUACAAUAAAUUGGGUUCAUGGGUUGAUGAUAGAGAUAGCAAUUGUUGUUCUUGGAACAAUGUCAAGUGCUCUAACAUCUCUUCGGGUCACAUAAUUGAAUUAUCCAUCCGAAAGUUACUAUUCGAUAUACCCUUUGAUAUGAAGUUAAAUGUUUCACUAUUCCGUCCAUUUAAAGAGCUACGGCUCCUCGACUUGUCCUACAACUCCUUUCUAGGCUGGAUUGGCAACGAAGGUACUACGUUCGUCCUUAUAUAUAAAAUUUCUUUAAUAAACUUAUACAAAUUAAAAAAGUUCAUUAAUUUUUAUUUGUUGUGUUAAAUUUAUUAACAUUUUAAUUUAUAUUGUCAUAAUUAGCAAUAAUUGACGGGUGAGUUUAAGUUUUCUAAAAAAGAUUGUUAUUUUACAACAUGAAAAUUCAAUGUUCAAAUCUCAAUUAAGAGAGAUGUCAGUACUUUCUAUUUAUUACAAUAUCUUAUAUACGAAUUAAAAAUCAAUGAUCUUAUAAAAUUUGGUGGGAUCAAUAUAAAUUUCAACCAAUACAAACAUAAGUGUUGUAAAUAGUAUAUCACUAGCAUAAUUAAAAAAUACAUAAUACAAGAGAGAAUUUUCUUAUAGGUACAAGAGAGAUAUUUUUACUGAAGCCUUUUAUAGUGUUGUAAAAAGUGUGGUAAAUAGUGUGUUACUAGCAUAAUUAAAAAAAUAUUGUUAUAUUUGUCGUUGUAUCCAUCAAUUUGGUCUCUCUAAGAUAGUCUCAGAUACUAAUUAAAACUAUGAAAGUGUUUAUAAUUUUACGAUGAUUUUAUAAAUUCUUUAAUUUUAGGAUCGAGCUCUGUAAUUUUUUAGGCCAAUUGAGGGAUUAAUUUUUCUAUUUUAUUGUUCUCUUUCAUUUAUUAAUUUUUCUAUUUCAUGGUUCACUGUUUUUUUGUUCUCUUUCAUUUUUCAUGACUUUUGUUUCCAUAUUGUAACAAAUUUAAAAAUAAACCAUUGACAUAAACAUUUUUCAUUAAUCACUGUAUUUUCCCUUCAUUUUUCGUGACUUUUAUUUCUCUUUUGCAACAAAUGCUGAAAUAAACUAUUAACAAGAAACUGUUUUCAUUAAUCAUGUUUCUUUUGAAGGGUUUCCUAGACUUAAAAGAUUGGAGACAUUAGAUCUUUCAGGGAACUAUCUAAAUAGUAGCAUUUUGCCAAGUUUGAAAGGAUUGACUGCUCUGACAACUUUGAAGUUGGUUUCCAAUUCGAUGGAAAACUUCUCUGCUCAAGGUACAUUUUGUUUCAAUAAUUUAUUUAUGGAGUUUAUGUGAUGAAGUGAAUGAAUUAGAAUACAAUUAUAAGAUCCCCAAGAAAAUAUAAUUUUUAACGAUAAUAAGAGACUUUAAAUAAAAUGAAAAAGUGGUUAUGAAUCAUCGGUAGGAAUUGAAAUUAAUUAACAAAAGCUUUUCAUUAUGUAUAUAUAUUGUUGAAGGAUUUUCGAGAUCAAAGGAGUUGGAAGUCUUAGACCUUUCAGGAAAUAGGCUAAAUUGCAACAUAAUAACAAGUUUGCAUGGAUUCACAUCAUUAAGGAGUUUGAUUCUGAGUUACAACAACUUCAAUUGUUCUCUCUCCACUUUAGGUAAACAUCUUCAAUUCUUAUAUUAUGACGAAUGAUUUUAUUAUCAUUUAUUAAAAAGAAAUAAAUUAUGUCCUUGCAACAGAUUUUGCCAAAUUUAGUCGGCUAGAACUAUUGGACUUGGGUGGUAAUCAAUUUACUGGUUCUCUACAUGUUGAAGGUACUUUUACUGUUAUUGUUGUUUCAAAUAUUACAAAGAAACACAAAAUUUAUUAUUACUAUUUAUGGCAAAACAAUUUAUAUAUAGGAAAAUUUCUUCUAUUUGAGAAAUUCAGACUUUGUUUAGGAAUUUAAAAUCCACAUUAUAAAUCAUAUUCUCAAUAGAAACUCUAAGUUAAUGAGUUUACAAUCUCUAAUUAAAUUCAAUAAAAUAAUUCUCCACACAAUUCGCCACAUUAUAAAUCAUAUUCUCAAUAGAGGCUUCCAUAAAUAUUUCCACAAACCUGCAUUCUCAUCCAAAGGUGGUUAUGGACUUUGUCUAGCCAUUUCCUCUUUGACGCGAUAGUAUGCCGACUUCAAUGAGUAAAUGCCAUCGUUAUGCAAAAUUAAGUUCAGGAAAAACGUGAGUAAUUUUGGCAGAAUAAAAAUAACAAAGACAUCAAGCCUCAAUUCUAUCAAUAAUAUAACCUUAUCGUUUAAUGCUAAUACUUUGACACCAAGUCAAACAUAAUCUGUUCUUCAAAAAUAAUAGUCAAACAUAAUUUGAAUUUUUUUUUGGGGAAUAGUUCUUACCGAUUUAUUUAUUGAAAAUUAUAUCUCUAACUAUGUACUCUCUUUUUUUUUCUUCUGCAGAUGUUCAACAUUUGAAAAAUUUGAAAAUGUUAAGUUUAAACGAUAAUCAAAUGAACGGCUCAAUUGAAGGUAUCAAUACUACCAAACACAAAUAAUUAAUUCAUAAUUGCUUCACGGGAUGGUUUUGGGGAUCGAUUGUUACAAUGAAGAUAACUUUUUUUUUUAUUUUAAAUUUUAAAUAAUUAACAAAAACAACGAAAUAAGUUAAUUAAUGUAUAUAUUGACGCCAUUGGAAAAACUUUUAAGAUUUUUAUGAUAAUGUCAAUUUUUGUAAAGAUGACAGGACAUAGUUAAUUAUGACAGGACUAUGCAAUUUUAAGGAUUUGGUAGAACUGGAUAUCAGCAAAAACAUGUUUAGUGCUAAACUUCCAGAUUGUUUAAGCAACUUAACAAACCUCAGAGUUCUUGAACUUAGUAAUAAUCUGUUCAGUGGAAAUUUUCCAUCUUUCAUUAGCAAUCUCACAUCACUGGCAUACUUAUCCUUCUAUGGAAAUUACAUGCAAGGAUCAUUUUCAUUGAGCACUUUGGCUAAUCAUUCCAAUCUUGAGGUUCUAUAUAUUUCAUCAAAAAACAAUAUUGGAGUAGACAUUGAAACUGAAAAAACAAAGUGGUUUCCUAAAUUUCAAUUGAAGUCACUUAUUGUUAGAAAUUGCAACCUAAACAAGGACGAAGGAAGUGUCAUUCCUACUUUUCUUUCAUAUCAAUAUAAUUUGGUAUACUUGGUCCUCUCCAGCAACAAUAUAAAUGGCUCACUCCCAAGUAAUUGGUUGAUACAUAAUGAUGACAUGAUAUAUUUGGAUAUAUCAAACAACAAUUUGAGUGGUUUGCUUCCAAAAGAUAUCGGUAUAUUCCUUCCUAAUGUUACCUAUUUGAACUUUUCAUGGAAUAGCUUUGAAGGAAAUAUACCUUCAUCAAUUGGUAAGAUGAAACAACUUCAACUCUUGGACUUCUCUCAAAAUCAUUUCUCAGGUGAGUUACCUAAACAACUGGCCACAGGUUGUGAUAAUUUACAAUACUUGAAGCUCUCCAACAACUUUCUACAUGGGAACAUUCCAAGAUUUUGUAAUUCAGUGAAUAUGUUUGGGUUAUUUCUUAAUAAUAACAACUUUAGUGGAACACUUGAAGAUGUAUUAGGAAAUAAUACAAGAUUAGAAACGCUGUCCAUAUCCAAUAAUUCAUUCUCAGGCACAAUUCCUAGUUCAAUUGGGAUGUUUUCUAACAUGUGGGCCCUUCUUAUGUCUAAAAAUCAAUUAGAAGGUGAGAUCCCUAUUGAGAUUUCCAGCAUAUGGCGGCUUCAAAUUUUAGAUCUUUCUCAAAACAAGUUAAAUGGAUCAAUCCCACCUUUAAGUGGUUUGACUCUUCUAAGGUUCUUGUAUUUGCAAGAGAAUGGUCUCUCUGGAUCAAUCCCAUAUGAACUCUAUGAAGGCUUCCAACUACAACUUCUAGAUUUGAGGGAGAACAAAUUUUCAGGAAAAAUUCCCAACUGGAUGGAUAA
rnacentral:lncRNA from 1 species